rnacentral:rRNA from 1 species
GACGAACGCUGGCGGCGUGCUUAACACAUGCAAGUCGAACGGAAAGGCCCUGCUUUUGUGGGGUGCUCGAGUGGCGAACGGGUGAGUAACACGUGAGUAACCUGCCCUUGACUUUGGGAUAACUUCAGGAAACUGGGGCUAAUACCGGAUAGGAGCUCCUGCUGCAUGGUGGGGGUUGGAAAGUUUCGGUGGUUGGGGAUGGACUCGCGGCUUAUCAGCUUGUUGGUGGGGUAGUGGCUUACCAAGGCUUUGACCGGUAGCCGGCCUGCGCGGGUGGCCGGCCACAUUGGGACUGAAAUACGGCCCGGACUCCUACGGGAGGCAGCAGUGGGGAGUAUUACACAAUGGGCGGAAGCCUAAUGCAGCAACGCCGCGUGCGGGAUGACGUCCUUCGGGUUGUAAACCGCUUUCGCCUUUGACGAAGCGUGAGUGACGGUAAUGGGUAAAGAAGCACCGGCUAACUACGUG